UACGGAGGGUGCAAGCGUUAUCCGGAUUCACUGGGUUUAAAGGGUGCGUAGGAGGGCAGGUAAGUCAGUGGUGAAAUCUCCAAGCUUAACUUGGAAACUGCCGUUGAUACUAUCUGUCUUGAAUACCGUGGAGGUGAGCGGAAUAUGUCAUGUAGCGGUGAAAUGCUUAGAUAUGACAUAAAACACCAAUUGCGAAGGCAGCUCGCUACACGAAUAUUGACUCUGAGGCACGAAAGCGUGGGGAUCAAACAGG
rnacentral:rRNA from 1 species